rnacentral:lncRNA from 1 species
CCAGCUGAGGUAACGUCCAUGAAAUUUAAGCUUCAAGGUGUUGCAUUGGUUGGCAUAUACAGUUAGAUAGCCUAAUGUUUUCAGCUGUUAAUAAUGCUUUUACAGGUUGCUUUCGGCUUGUAGGCGACGACGCCAGGCCACCAGGGCAGACGUUGUUCAUCUUGCGUCGCAAAAGAAAGUGUUUGUGCCAGCCAAGAGUGAAAGUAUAGCAAUCAACGGAUUGGAGUUGUCCAUGCAUUUUCUACCAUGACUCUGGACACUGACUUCACAAUCGGAUGAUGAAUUGAAGAUGGUCACUGCUGAUUGAAGCCUGACGCCUCGCUAUUUCGUUGACCAAGAAUGAGAAAGAAGAGAGCAACUGGAACACGAGCGUAUUGAUGAUGGCCGUCUCUUUUGCACUGGACGCGCAGAAACUUUCCAAAUCUAGAAAUCUGAUCGACAGGUGGCCUGCCUGACUCUUUACUCGAAUUUAAUUGUGGACCCAAAAUGCAGAUGAAGAGCUUAAAAUCGAUGGUAUCUCGAGCGUGCAUGGGCCACAAAACGGCUUGGUUCAAACUUGAUGAAAAAUUGAAUGCUACUACGGUUGGUACACCAGAAAUACUACUCCAGUUUGUAGGUUAGACAUGAAUACGAUGCUCCUCUGAUUGAUUGUGUCACGUCACUCUCACUCUCUAUGGGGCCAGUUUUUGCCAAGAAAAAGUUUGUCCUGGUACUCUCUGGUCCUUGUCAAUAUGCACUGUGUUAUGAAUGAAAACGCAGGCAAAAGGAGGCAAACAGAGGGCAUGCCUUGUUGGUUUAGUAGACUUGAAACUAGGGGUGUUGCAAGAGGUCGUUGUUUUGCAGUAAUUUUCGCCUAUAUAGUGCUAUCUUUUGUGUACC